GAAAUGCGAUAAGUAAUGUGAAUUGCAGAAUUCCGUGAAUCAUCGAAUCUUCGAACGCACAUUGCGCCCUCUGGCAUUCCGGGGGGGAUGCCUGUCCGAGCGUCAUUACGCACCCUCAAGCCCGGCUUGUGUGAUGGGCCCCGGCGUCUCGUUCGCGAGACGGGCCCGAAAGGCAGCGGCGGCGUCGACCCGAUGAGCCCGAGCGUAUGGGGACUUCUGUCACACGUUCGCGGUGCGGACCGGCGCCUGCUUGACUUUUCUGAUUAUCCAGGUUGACCUCGGAUCAGGUAGGGAUACCCGCUGAACUUAAGC
rnacentral:misc_RNA from 1 species